AGGGGAGCCGGAGGGAAACCGAGUCUUAAUUGGGCGUUAAGUUGCAGGGUAUAGACCCGAAACCCGGUGAUCUAGCCAUGGGCAGGUUGAAGGUUGGGUAACACUAACUGGAGGACCGAACCGACUAAUGUUGAAAAAUUAGCGGAUGACCUGUGGCUGGGGGUGAAAGGCCAAUCAAACCGGGAGAUAGCUGGUUCUCCCCGAAAGCUAUUUAGGUAGCGCCUCGUGAAUUCAUCUCCGGGGGUAGAGCA
rnacentral:rRNA from 1 species